AAUCAACGCUGGCGGCGUGCCUCAGACAUGCAAGUCGAACGAGAAAGUCCCCUUCGGGGGAUAAGUAAAGUGGCGCACGGGUGAGUAACACGUAGGUAAUCUACCUUCGGGUGGGGAAUAACCCAGGGAAACUUGGGCUAACACCGCAUAAUGCAGCGGCACCACAUGGUGACAGUUGUUAAAGCGGGGGAUUUUCGAACCUCGCGCCUGAAGAGGAGCCUGCGGCGGAUUAGCAGUUGGUGAGGUAACGGCUCACCAAGGUCACGAUCCGUAGCCGGCCUGAGAGGGCGGUCGGCCACACUGACACUGACAUACGGGUCAGACUCCUACGGGAGGCAGCAGUCGGGAAUUUUGGGCAAUGGGCGAAAGCCUGACCCAGCAACGCCGCGUGAAGGAUGAAAUCCCUCGGGAUGUAAACUUCGCAAGAAUGGGAAGAAUUAGUA
rnacentral:rRNA from 1 species